ACGGUAGCUAAUACCGCAUAAUGUCGCAAGACCAAAGUGGGGGACCUUCGGGCCUCAUGCCAUCAGAUGUGCCCAGAUGGGAUUAGCUAGUAGGUGGGGUAACGGCUCACCUAGGCGACGAUCCCUAGCUGGUCUGAGAGGAUGACCAGCCACACUGGAACUGAGACACGGUCCAGACUCCUACGGGAGGCAGCAGUGGGGAAUAUUGCACAAUGGGCGCAAGCCUGAUGCAGCCAUGCCGCGUGUGUGAAAAAGGCCUUCGGGUUGUAAAGCACUUUCAGCGGGGAGGAAGGCGUUAAGGUUAAUAACCUUGGCGAUUGACGUUACCCGCAGAAGAAGCACCGGCUAACUCCGUGCCAGCAGCCGCGGAAAUACGGAGGGUGCAAGCGUUAAUCGGAAUUACUGGGCGUAAAGCGCACGCAGGCGGUCUGUCAAGUCGGAUGUGAAAUCCCCGGGCUCAACCUGGGAACUGCAUUCGAAACUGGCAGGCUAGAGUCUUGUAG
rnacentral:rRNA from 1 species